GAUGAACGCUGGCGGCGUGCCUAAUACAUGCAAGUCGAGCGAACAGACGAGGAGCUUUCUCCUCUGACGUUAGCGGCGGACGGGUGAGUAACACGUGGAUAACCUACCUAUAAGACUGGGAUAACUUCGGGAAACCGGAGCUAAUACCGGAUAAUAUAUUGAACCUCAUGGUUCAAUAGUGAAAGACGGUUUUGCUGUCACUUAUAGAUGGAUCCGCGCCGCAUUAGCUAGUUGGUAAGGUAACGGCUUAGCAAGGCAACGAUGCGUAGCCGACCUGAAAGGGUGAUCGAGCACACUGGAACUGAGACACGGUCCAGACUCCUGCGGGAGGAAGCAGUAGGGAAUCUUACGCGAGGGGCGAAAGGCGGACGGAGCAAAGCCGCGUGAGUGAUGAAGGUCUUCGGAUCGUAGAACUCUGUUAUUAGGAAAGAACAAAUGUGUAAGUAACUAUGCACGUCUUGACGGUACCUAAUCAGAAAGCCACGGCUAACUACGUG
rnacentral:rRNA from 1 species